rnacentral:rRNA from 1 species
GACGAACGCUGGCGGCGUGCUUAACACAUGCAAGUCGAACGAUGACGACCGAGCUUGCUCGGUCUGAUUAGUGGCGAACGGGUGAGUAACACGUGAGCAACCUGCCCUUCACUCUGGGAUAACCUCGGGAAAUCGGGGCUAAUACCGGAUAUGAGCUCCUGUCGCAUGGCGGGUGUUGGAAAGUUUUUCGGUGAAGGAUGGGCUCGCGGCCUAUCAGUUUGUUGGUGAGGUAGUGGCUCACCAAGGCGAUGACGGGUAGCCGGCCUGAGAGGGCGACCGGCCACUCUGGGACUGAGACACGGCACAGACUCCUACGGGAGGCAGCAGUGGGGAAUAUUGCACAAUGGGCGAAAGCCUGAUGCAGCGACGCCGCGUGAGGGAUGACGGCCUUCGGGUGGUAAACCUCUUUCAGCAGGGAAGAAGCGAAAGUGACGGUACCUGCAGAAGAAGCGCCGGCUAACUACGUG